rnacentral:rRNA from 1 species
UAGAACUAGUUUAGUGGCGCACGGGUGCGUAACGCGUAUGCAACCUACCUUAAACAGGGGAAUAGCCUCUCGAAAGAGAGAUUAAUACCGCAUAACAUCCUUUCAGGACAUCCUGAGAGGAUCAAACCUACGGGGGUUUAAGAUGGGCAUGCGUGACAUUAGCUAGUUGGUGAGGUAACGGCUCACCAAGGCAACGAUGUCUAGGGGGUCUGAGAGGAUGUCCCCCCACACUGGUACUGAGACACGGACCAGACUCCUACGGGAGGCAGCAGUAGGGAAUAUUGGUCAAUGGGGGCAACCCUGAACCAGCCAUGCCGCGUGCAGGACUAAGGCCCUAUGGGUCGUAAACUGCUUUUGAACGGGAAGAAAUGUAUCUACGUGUAGAUAUUUGACGGUACCGUUAGAAUAAGGAUCGGCUAACUUCGUGCCAGCAGCCGCGGUAAUACGAAGGAUCCAAGCGUUGUCCGGAUUUACUGGGUUUAAAGGGUGCGUAGGCGGACUCAUAAGUC